CCCUCCGUCUCCUUGACUCUGGGUGGGCUGUGUGACUUUUCCUUGCUCAAUAGAAUGAGAAGGAGGUGGCGCACCGGCUACAAGGCUAGACCGGGGGCUCGCAUAUCUCCACUUGCAGCUGCCACUGCCAUUAGAAGAACUUGCUCAGCCAGCUCCUGGGCCCCAGGAAAAGGACAAGUGUCACCCAGAACAGAGCCACCUCCAGCUGCACUCAGCUCCAGAAGCUGGCCCAGCCGGUCCAGUACACCUUUUAAAUAAUGUCCUCUACGUGCCGGUGUGGAAGUAGCCCGGAUGCAAUUGAAUGAACAACAGACGGUGCUUUCCAGGACGGCGCUGUGCUUUCCAGGAUGGUGCUGUGCUUUCAUUCAUUUGGGUAGCUCCUCUGUGAGCCUCCCAGCGCCGACUGCAGAGCCCCCACUCUCCAGCCUGCAAGACCCCGAAAUUCAAGCCACACAAAGAAAGGAGGAGGGGGCCGUUGGCAUUUACUGAACCUUAUAAAACUGUCAGCAAAACAGCCCUUAGGCUUGGACUCCCUGCUAGCCGGGUUUUACGGUGCUGAAGUCAGCAUCUUGAUUCAGCUGCAUAAAUAAUCUCCUGCAGUCCUGCAAGGCCUGGGGUAGGAGAGGGUAUGGGGACCAGGGCACUCUGUAAGGGCUGGGAUAGGAACCCCAGGGAAUAAGACAGACCAACUGCGGGACUUCAGACUCCACUGCAGCCGGGAUCGGGUUGUUGUUAAUUUCUUAAGCAAUUUCUAAAUUCUGUAUUGACUCUCUCAUGCAUGUAACUGAUCCUUAGAUAUUGUCAGCCAAAUGACUAAAGGAUUUAGAAAU